rnacentral:rRNA from 1 species
ACGGGUGAGUAAUACAUCGGAACGUAUCCUGGAGUGGGGGAUAGCCCGGCGAAAGCCGGAUUAAUACCGCAUACGCUCUGAGGAGGAAAGCGGGGGACCUUCGGGCCUCGCGCUCAAGGGGCGGCCGAUGGCGGAUUAGGUAGUUGGUGGGGUAAAGGCCUACCAAGCCGACGAUCCGUAGCUGGUCUGAGAGGACGACCAGCCACACUGGGACUGAGACACGGCCCAGACUCCUACGGGAGGCAGCAGUGGGGAAUUUUGGACAAUGGGGGCAACCCUGAUCCAGCAAUGCCGCGUGUGUGAAGAAGGCCUUCGGGUUGUAAAGCACUUUUGUCCGGAAAGAAAUCAUCGGGGCCAAUACCCCUGGUGGAUGACGGUACCGGAAGAAUAAGCACCGGCUAACUACGUGCCUGCAGCCGCGGUAAUACGUAGGGUGCGAGCGUUAAUCGGAAUUACUGGGCGUAAAGCGUGCGCAGGCGGUGCUGUAAGACCGAUGUGAAAUCCCCGGGCUUAACCUGGGAACUGCAUUGGUGACUGCAGCGCUGGAGUAUGGCAGAGGGGGGUGGA